UACGUAGGGGGCUAGCGUUGUCCGGAUUUAUUGGGCGUAAAGAGCGUGUAGGCGGCCAGGUAGGUCCGCUGUGAAAGUCCGAGGCUCAACCUCGGAAUGUCGGCGGAAACCCUCUGGCUAGAGUCCGGAAGAGGAGAGUGGAAUUCCCGGUGUAGCGGUGAAAUGCGCAGAUAUCGGGAAGAACACCCGUGGCGAAGGCGGCUCUCUGGACCGGUACUGACGCUGAGACGCGAAAGCGUGGGGAGCGAACAGG
rnacentral:rRNA from 1 species